UUUGACCUCAAAUCAGGUAGGACUACCCGCUGAACUUAAGCAUAUCAAUAAGCGGAGGAAAAGAAACUAACAAGGAUUCCCCUAGUAACUGCGAGUGAAGAGGGAAAAGCUCAAAUUUAAAAUCUGGCAGCGUUUGCUGUCC
rnacentral:rRNA from 1 species